UCUUAAAAAAAAAAAAAGUAAAAUAAAGUUGGGACAAUACAGAGAUAAGCAUGGCCCUGUGGCAAGGAUGACAGACAAAUCUGUGAAGCAUUCAAUAUUUAA